rnacentral:rRNA from 1 species
AGUAGGGAGGUAAGGUAGUGUAGUUAACACCUGCAUUAUUUGACGUUUACCUACAGAAGAAGCACCGGCUAACUCCGUGCCAGCAGCCGCGGUAAUACGGAGGGUGCGAGCGUUAAUCGGAAUUACUGGGCGUAAAGCGCAUGCAGGCGGCCUGUUAAGUCAGAUGUGAAAGCCCGGGGCUUAACCUCGGAAUUGCAUUUGUAAACUGGCAGGCUAGAGUCUUGUAGAGGGGGGUAGAAUUUCAGGUGUAGCGGUGAAAUGCGUAGAGAUCUGAAGGAAUACCAGUGGCGAAGGCGGCCCCCCUCGGACAAAGAACUGACGCUCAGAUGCGAAAGCGUGGGGAGCAAACAGGAUUAGAUACCCUGGAG